UACGAAGGGGGCUAGCGUUGUUCGGAAUUACUGGGCGUAAAGCGUAUGCAGGCGGACUUCUAAGUCGGGGGUGAAAUCCUGGAGCUCAACUCCAGAACUGCCUUUGAUACUGGCGAUCUUGAGUCCGGGAGAGGUGAGUGGAACUGCGAGUGUAGAGGUGAAAUUCGUAGAUAUUCGCAAGAACACCAGUGGCGAAGGCGGCUCACUGGCCCGGUACUGACGCUGAGGUGCGAAAGCGUGGGGAGCAAACAGG
rnacentral:rRNA from 1 species